CUGUGUCCAAGUCUACAGGAAUUAACUGCUCAGAGGGACCAGCUGUUCUCUGUACUCAAUGAAGACAGAACAAGAGGAAACAGGCCCAAAAGACGCUCUGAUCAAGAUUUAGUCCCAGAUAGGAUCUCCUGGAUCUUCACUGAGUAAGGAGAGUGGCACCAGCCCCCUUCCCUGGAGCUGCAAUCCUGAUGCACAAAAGGGAGCUAUGUCAAUUCACUGAGUGAGUGACCUCGGUUUGGGGCUGUUCAGGUGGAAUAGGUCACUAUGGAUGCCUCUAGGACUGUGGGGUUUUCUAGGCAUUCCCCGAUGCUACCAGGAGCUGUGCCACUCCUAGUACC